UACGUAGGGACCAAGCGUUGUUCGGAUUUACUGGGCGUAAAGGGCGCGUAGGCGGCUUAACAAGUCACUUGUGAAAUCUCCGGGCUUAACUCGGAACGGCCAAGUGAAACUGUCAAGCUAGAGUGCAGAAGGGGCAAUCGGAAUUCUUGGCGUAGCGGUGAAAUGCGUAGAUAUCAAGAGGAACACCUGAGGUGAAGACGGGUUGCUGGGCUGACACUGACGCUGAGGCGCGAAAGCCAGGGGAGCGAACGGG
rnacentral:rRNA from 1 species